UACGAAGGGUGCAAGCGUUGUCCGGAAUUAUUGGGCGUAAAGAGCUCGUAGGCGGUCUGUCGCGUCUGCUGUGAAAACUCAGGGCUUAACCCUGAGCUUGCAGUGGGUACGGGCAGACUAGAGUGCGGUAGGGGAGACUGGAAUUCCUGGUGUAGCGGUGAAAUGCGCAGAUAUCAGGAGGAACACCGGUGGCGAAGGCGGGUCUCUGGGCCGUAACUGAACGCU
rnacentral:rRNA from 1 species